UUCAACUUCGUUGCCGGUGCCUAAAUUUUGACAUAAUCACCACAAUUCAUUAGAUUUUGAAUUUUUGAUUUUUAGGAUUUGGCUAAUUAUAUAACUUUUUCCAAUACUCAGUCAUUUUUGGCAUAAAAACUACUAAAAUUCAUUUUUUUUUAAAUUUUUUAAUUUAUAGAUAUUUGAAGGUUGUAGAGAAAUCAAUCCAUGGUGUUGAUGUUUGUAAGGCGGCAACAUGAUUUGUUGAAAUUGUUUCGUUGUUUCAUAAAUAGGAGGUUGGAAAGCUAUCUACGGACGGAGCACGGGUUCGAAGCAGGUCGCAAGGUCGCACACAGAGCGUAUCCAGCAAUCGGAAGUAGAUACAUCCGUGUCAAGAAACUGGGCAUGAAGAACCGAUGAGGCAGUUGGGGCUGUGCGGCGUGAGAGGAGAGUUUUAUCCGGCGUGACCAGAAAUGGUGGAUUGUGGUUACUAUGGGUGAGAAAGCCAUGGUCUAGGUAUUAACUCUGUCCGAAGAUUCGAAAAGUAGAUGACUACAUGGAAAACCAUAUCUUAUUAUGAAGCAUCAGUUGCAGGGAAUGAAAAAGUGGUGUUUAUGCAGUCUACCUGCAUGUUUAAUCAUCGAGUGGGUUAUUGCUACAAUUCAUGGAUUCUGGAUAAUAACUUAAGUGGCAAGAUCCACAGGCCAGACAGCUCGAGCAAAGGGUCAUAUUUAAGUUCAGAAAAUGGUGGAGUCGUGCAGGAAAUGGUGGAGCGGUGCUGGGUCGAUUAAGGCGCACGUGGUUGGUUCCGAUGACCCUUGAUUCAUAUAUCUGGUCAUGGAUAGAUAUGGUGAUUGAUAGUUGAUGUUUCUGUUGAAAUGGGCGUUUUUCAGCGAAUGGUGAGAUAAGUAGGUUCAAAGUGACUAUGGUGAGGUUUUCGGGUGACCAACCAACAUUUCAGUAAAAAAGAUUUAACUCGGGUCAGCAGACGGUCAUCAGGAAUGUAUAAAUGUACGCUCAAGUCGUUUAGAUAAUUUAAUGUAAUUAUCAUCAACCUCUGUUCAACGAGGUGCGUUAAGGUUGUACACUGUUGAAGCCGAGAGAAAAAGGAAAGGCUAUAGCUGAUACGGGCGUUAUUCAGGUUAGUUUAUCGGGUUUUUAUCGUUAAUCGGGUCUGGUUAAUCAGGUUUCUGAAAUUAGUCAAGUUCAGGUUUUUCGGCUUUCAGGUUAAACGGGUCGAAAUAAUAAGCAUGUAUUCUUGAAAUAACAAGUCAGAAUAGGUUUGGCUUGGGCUGACCCGUCAAAUUUUCAAAACCGUCACCAGAGAACUCACGCGCUGCCAAUACCAUGCUAACAAACACUUUCACUGAGCACCACUAUGUUCAACACAAGUAUAUCAAUUGUAUUGCUUUAUUUGUUUUUGAAUUCUUAAAAUAUGUUUAUUCGCAGAGUUGAUGGUAUGCAUAAGUUUUCGGGUAGGAUAAAGAGGUGCACUAAUUGUCACAAAUUUAUUAUGCUUAAUUUUGUACAUUUUGUUGCAUUAAGUUAUUAUUUGUAUGAUAUAACGUCAAGUCACACUCCACUUUUUUAAUUUUUUUUUAUCACAUACUGAAGCUGCAGCAAAGAGGGCACUAGCGCUUGAUGGGUCGGAUAUAAAAUGGAGUAAUAAUGACAUGGGGAUGGGGCGAACACGGUCAGCUUGUUUUAGGAGAUGCAUGUGAUGUGAUCACACUUGUCCUCAGGUUUCAGUUCAUGCAUUAAAGAAUGAAUACAGUUCUUAAACAGAGACAAUCUUAAACCGAUGAUUUCUCUUUCUUUUGAUCGAGUUUCUAGGGGAAAUCUCUUAUAUAUCUGUUAUCGAUUGGAUGAGAUGUGGGUUUGACUUGAAUAAAACUCUAUAUGUUAUUGUUUAUGAUUGACUUUUAUUUAUGCCCAUGAAGUGUUCGAUGAAA